rnacentral:rRNA from 1 species
GACGAACGCUGGCGGCGUGCUUAACACAUGCAAGUCGAACGGAAAGGCCCUGCUUUUGUGGGGUGCUCGAGUGGCGAACGGGUGAGUAACACGUGAGUAACCUGCCCUUGCCUUUGGGAUAACUUCAGGAAACUGGGGCUAAUACCGGAUAGGAGCUCCUGCUGCAUGGUGGGGGUUGGAAAGUUUCGGCGGUUGGGGAUGGACUCGCGGCUUAUCAGCUUGUUGGUGGGGUAGUGGCUUACCAAGGCUUUGACGGGUAGCCGGCCUGAGAGGGUGACCGGCCACAUUGGGACUGAGAUACGGCCCAGACUCCUACGGGAGGCAGCAGUGGGGAAUAUUGCACAAUGGGCGGAAGCCUGGUGCAGCAACGCCGGGUGGUGGAUGACGGCCUUCGGGUUGUAAACCGCGUUCGCCUGUGACGAAGCGUGAGUGACGGUAAUGGGUAAAGAAGCACCGGCUAACUACGUG